CCACUACAGAACUUUAGAUAAGGUCUAAGUCCUGGGAGGGAAGAGGAGCUGGAUCUUUUCUAUUGGUAAGAGAUCUAUAGGCUGGAUGAGAGAUCAAUAAGAAAGUAGGGAGAAGAAUUUCACUUGGAGACAGCAACCAUUACAAGAUGUGAGAGAAGGAAGCAUUGGAGAAGACUGAUAGCUCCAGACUCAUGACCAGGCAGUUCUUGGUGUGAUGAACUGAGAUAUGGAUUGGAGGAGGAGGAGCAUGCUGGCGGUGGAAGCUAGGGAUGCUUCCUAAAAUGCAACUAGCUGGCAGAAGACAGAGCACUUGGGUUGAAUGUUUCACAGAGCUAAAGGUGCACUAAUUCUGGAUGAGACUCCAGCUGGGAGGAUAGAUGUGUCCAUCCCUUCCAUCUGUCUAUCUGUCUGUCUAUAUCGCAGGAGGAGAAAAGCAUAGAUCAGAAUGAUGGACAUGCCCCUCUCCAGGACGUGUCACCCUAGGGCAGGGAAAUCAUUAGAUCUUCCAAUCCUGAAGAUUUCUCCGAGAACAACAGCUUGCAGAAAGCAAACCCACGUUGCGAGUUCCAGACAAAGCCCCAACUGUUCCAACUGUGAUUACCUAAACGCGUUUUAGAACUUGG
rnacentral:lncRNA from 1 species